GACGAACGCUGGCGGCGUGCUUAACACAUGCAAGUCGAACGGUGAAGCGCCUUCCUUUUUGGUGGGUGUGGAUGAGUGGCGAACGGGUGAGUAACACGUGAGUAACCUGCCCCCUUCUUCUGGAUAACCGCAUGAAAGUGUGGCUAAUACGGGAUAUUCUGGGUCUGUCGCAUGAUGGGUCUGGGAAAGAUAUUGUUUCGGGGGGGGAUGGGCUCGCGGCCUAUCAGCUUGUUGGUGGGGGGAUGGCCUACCAAGGGGGUGUCGGGUAGCCGGCCUGAGAGGGUGGACGGUCACACGGGGACUGAGACACGGGCCAGACUCCUACGGGAGGCAGCAGUGGGGAAUAUGGCACAAUGGGCGCCAGCCUGAUGCAGCGACGCCGCGUGAGGGAUGGAGGCCUUCGGGUUGUGAACCUCUUUCGCCAGUGAAGCAGGCCUGCCUCGUUUGUGGGUGGGUUGACGGUAGCUGGAUAAGAAGCGCCGGCUAACUACGUG
rnacentral:rRNA from 1 species